rnacentral:lncRNA from 1 species
GCAGCAGGUGGCAAGAAGUGGGAAGAUCUGUGGCUACAAAUGUUCAUGGUAGGAUAAAAAUAUAGAACAGCUUGUGUCCCAGUGCAGUACUAGUUAGACUAAUCAUGCCUGUGUUUGGGUUCAUAUUCUACACAUCAACAAAUUUCUUGUAGUUUUUGGCUUUACCAGUAACAAUGUGUGGUUGGAAGAGGUUAGAUUUUUAGAUUUUCAAAAUGUUGUCAUAGACCUGUGUGAUACAGUGGGAGUCUUCAGAACCCCCCUACUUCAGGAUAGAGUGUAACCCAAGUGUCCUUGAAUGUCCAAAUACUUUGGCCAAAUGACUUUUUUGAGCUCUUUGGAGUAAAACAGCCUGUGCUGGUCUUGGCAGCCAUAUAAAUAGUAUAACUUUGCAGCUUGUCAGAGGUACUCUAAGUGUUUAAGUGUUUUACCCU